rnacentral:lncRNA from 1 species
GAAUAGUUGUCCCCUUAGAACAAAGAGCAUUGUUCUGUGGCAUAAAAAGAGAAUGGAUGUAAAGAGAUGCACAUCCCAGACCGCCGUCCCACACAGCUCCCCUGCCACAGCACUGGUGCCAAGGAGCAGGACCAGGCACAGUGCUGGUUUCAGGGAGAAAAAAGAUAUUUUGAAGAUCUCUGCGCCUGGCAUAAGGAAAGUGCACUCUCUGUGUUCCUGCUUGAAAUCCUUGUCCUUGCAGUUCCCCCAGCAGAGCUACAGGUUCUCAGGAGACCAUGGAAGAGACCCAGACUGCUGCAUGCUAUUGAUCACAGUUCCAGAGGUCUCCAGAUGAGACAGAAGCCAGCAUAUGCAGUUUGGCAGAUGAAGAAUCAGUGCAGUCAACACAUGCCGUGAAGGGACCAUAAGCAGAUGCAUGCAGAAGGGUGAGCUUCAGGCAAGCAGAUAUGGCACCUCUUCCAAAUACUGACCUACGUCCAGCAAUUCUGGAGCUUUUGAGAUGCAUAUCUUCUACUUUGGCAAGAAGUGUCUCAGGUUUUCUACUUGCUGACAACAUCCUUGUAUUUGUUUUCAGCGUGACUCCUUACCAACUUUGGGAGGCAGUGACAAAUGAAGCCCAAAGUAAAUCAAGAUAUCUCAGAGGCUGCUGUGUAUUUCUCAUCAAGUUACAACAGUCGGGUUAGGAUUGAAGGCUGUUAGUGCCAAAACAAAAACAAAUGUUUGCUGGAAGGCAUUCUGUCUCUUGUAAAGCAUAAGCAGUAGAGGACAAUCAUGACAGCAGAUAAAUGAUGAACAUAUAUCACAGUAACCAGUGUUUCUCACUCAGUUCUCAGCUGCCAUAAGCAUUUUUGAAGAUUUUUUUUUAAAAAAAAAAAAAAAAAAAAAGCUAUUCUUCUACAUCUAUUCUUCUACAUUAUUUUACCAUUAGGGCAAAGAGAAAAUAGCCUGCUAACACUUCUAGAACUUCUUUAAUCUACUGCAACAUUAGACGAACUAGAGAGCAGAAAUUCCCAUUGCAUUAAUUGAUUGAGGUUGGUAUUUGUCACUACCCCAGUAGCAACUUAAAUAUCCAACUUGUUAUUACUGAACCUUUUUCACAUAAGUAAAAAUUAUUUGUUUCUGGUAAAUGAAAAACACUGACCACACACUAGCAGAGAAUAAAACAAAGAUGCCAGAACA